UAGUGAGUUUGAUCCUGGCUCAGGAUGAACGCUGGCGGUCUGCUUAACACAUGCAAGUCGAACGGAGACCUUCGGGUCUUAGUGGCGGACGGGUGAGUAACGCGUGAGAAUCUGCCCUCAGGAUGGGGACAACGACUGGAAACGGUCGCUAAUACCCGAUGUGCCGCAAGGUGAAAGAUUUAUCGUCUGAGGAAGAGCUCGCGUCUGAUUAGCUAGUUGGUGGGGUAAGAGCCUACCAAGGCGACGAUCAGUAGCUGGUCU
rnacentral:rRNA from 1 species